rnacentral:rRNA from 1 species
CAGCAGCCGCGGUAAUACGAAGGGGGCUAGCGUUGUUCGGAUUUACCGGGCGUAAAGGGCGCGUAGGCGGACUGAUAAGUCAGGGGUGAAAUCCCAAGGCUCAACCUUGGAACUGCCUUUGAUACUGUCUGUCUUGAGUUCGAGAGAGGUAAGUGGAACUGCGAGUGUAGAGGUGAAAUUCGUAGAUAUUCGCAAGAACACCAGUGGCGAAGGCGGCUUACUGGCUCGAAACUGACGCUGAGGCGCGAAAGCGUGGGGAGCAAACAGGAUUAGAUACCCCUGUAGUCCCUGUCUCUUAUAC